rnacentral:rRNA from 1 species
GAGUAAUGUCUGGGAAACUGCCUGAUGGAGGGGGAUAACUACUGGAAACGGUGGCUAAUACCGCAUAACGUCGCAAGACCAAAGAGGGGGACCUUCGGGCCUCUUGCCAUCAGAUGUGCCCAGAUGGGAUUAGCUUGUUGGUGAGGUAACGGCUCACCAAGGCGACGAUCCCUAGCUGGUCUGAGAGGAUGACCAGCCACACUGGAACUGAGACACGGUCCAGACUCCUACGGGAGGCAGCAGUGGGGAAUAUUGCACAAUGGGCGCAAGCCUGAUGCAGCCAUGCCGCGUGUAUGAAGAAGGCCUUCGGGUUGUAAAGUACUUUCAGCGGGGAGGAAGGUGUUGUGGUUAAUAACCGCAGCAAUUGACGUUACCCGCAGAAGAAGCACCGGCUAACUCCGUGCCAGCAGCCGCGGUAAUACGGAGGGUGCAAGCGUUAAUCGGAAUUACUGGGCGUAAAGCGCACGCAGGCGGUCUGUCAAGUCGGAUGUGAAAUCCCCGGGCUCAACCUGGGAACUGCAUUCGAAACUGGCA